rnacentral:rRNA from 1 species
AUUGAACGCUGGCGGCAUGCCUAACACAUGCAAGUCGAACGGCAGCACGGGAGCUUGCUCCUGGUGGCGAGUGGCGGACGGGUGAGUAAUGCAUAGGAAUCUGCCCAGUAGCGGGGGACAACUUGGGGAAACUCAAGCUAAUACCGCAUACGCCCUACGGGGGAAAGCGGGGGACCUUCGGGCCUCGCACUAUUGGAUGAGCCUAUGUCAGAUUAGCUUGUUGGUGGGGUAAAGGGCCUACCAAGGCGACGAUCUGUAGCUGGUCUGAGAGGACGAUCAGCCACACUGGGACUGAGACACGGCCCAGACUCCUACGGGAGGCAGCAGUGGGGAAUAUUGCACAAUGGGCGAAAGCCUGAUGUAGCAAUGCCGCGUGUGUGAAGAAGGCCUGCGGGGUUGUAAAGCACUUUCAGUAGGGAGGAACAGUAGCCGGUUAAUAUCCGGUUGCCUUGACGUUACCUACAGAAGAAGCACCGGCUAACUCUGU